GUGUCAGCAGCCGCGGUAAUACGAAGGUGACAAGCGUUGUUCGGAAUCAUUGGGCGUAAAGCGCACGUAGGCGGGUUUGAAAGUCGAUUGUGAAAACCCUGGGCUCAACCCGGGACCUGCAGUCGAAACUUCAAGUCUUGAAUGCUCGAGAGGAUGGUGGAAUUCCAGGAGUAGAUGUGAAAUUCGUAGAUAUCUGGAGGAACACCGGAGGCGAAAGCGGCCAUCUGGCGAGACAUUGACGCUAAGGUGCGAAAGCGUGGGGAUCAAACAGGAUUAGAUACCCCGGUAGUCC
rnacentral:rRNA from 1 species